rnacentral:misc_RNA from 1 species
GAUGAAGAACGCAGUGAAAUGCGAUACUUGGUGUGAAUUGCAGAAUCCCGUGAACCAUCGAGUCUUUGAACGCAAGUUGCGCCCGAGGCCUCCUGGUCGAGGGCACGUCUGCCUGGGUGUCACGCAUCGUCGCCCCCUCUCCCCUCGGCUCGCGAGGGCGGGGGCGGAUACUGGUCUCCCGCGCGCUCCCGCUCGCGGUUGGCCCAAAAUCGAGUCCUCGGCGACGGUCGCCACGACGAGCGGUGGUUGAGAGACCCUCGGACACGGUCGUGCGCGCGCCUGUCGCCCCCGGGAUCUCCUGGACCCUCGGGCAUCGAAAUUCUAGGAUGCUCUCGUUGCAACCCCAGGUCAGGCGGGACUACCCGCUGAGUUUAAGCAUAUCAAUAAGCGGAGGA